rnacentral:lncRNA from 1 species
CUUAUACCAAUAACUUUUGAUAUUCUUAAAUAAGUUGAAAAUUCAAACAAGCAUAAAUAAAAGAUGUGAGGGAAAUUAUAGUAGUACCAACAUUAUGACUUACAUCUUUAAAAAAAGAACAUUAUGACUUACAAAUAUAAUUACAUGCAUGAAAGUUACAUACGAAUUCUUUUUCUUACUUGCAUUUGCAAUUAUGUUCAAUGCACCGUGGAGUUAGAGGAGGGCGACACAUAUUUUUUAAACAAUCAUCGCU